AAUAUUCCGUUACAUGCGAAUAAUAUUUUCACUUUCAUCUCCACUCUGAGACUUGUUCAGGAACCCAUUCGAACAAUACCUGAUGUUUUUGCGGUUGCCAUUCAAGCCAAGGUUGGAUUUGCUCGUAUUGUGAAAUUCCUCGAGGCACCUGAGCUGCAACCUUCAAAUGUCCGGAAGUGCAACAUGAAGAAUGUAGAUAAGUCCAUUGAAAUUAAGUCAGCUAAUUUUUCAUGGGAAGAGAAUUCAUCGAAGUCCAUACUGAGAAAUAUAAAUUUAGAGGUUAGACCAGGCGAAAAGGUGGCUAUAUGUGGAGAAGUUGGCUCAGGCAAAUCAAGCCUUUUGGCUGCAAUUCUUGGAGAAAUUCCAACUGUGCAAGGAAAUGUAAGUUACUACUUUGCUCUGUUCCAUUAGCAUACAAAUCUUUUUUAAUGGGAUCUAGGUGCAAAUUACUUUGAAAUAGAAAAAUGUACAUAAUAAAACCAGCAUUUUCUUUAUCGACUUUCAGAUUCAAGUUUAUGGCAAGAUUGCCUAUGUUUCUCAAACAGCUUGGAUUCAGUCAGGAACUAUACAAGAAAAUAUUCUCUUUGGCUCUUGUAUGGAUAGUAAGAGAUACCGGGAAACACUUGAGAGAUGCUCACUAGUAAAGGAUCUUGAGCUGCUUCCCUAUGGUGACCUUACUGAAAUAGGGGAGAGAGGGGUGAAUCUUAGUGGAGGUCAGAAGCAGCGGAUCCAACUUGCACGCGCUCUCUAUCAGGAUGCUGAUAUAUAUCUCUUGGAUGAUCCAUUCAGUGCUGUUGAUGCACAUACUGCCACAAGCUUAUUUAAUGUAAAUUUACAUUCCAAACUUGGGCUGUGCCUUUUUUAUUUUACUUGCUUAUACUGCAAGCUGACUUGUACAUUGGCAGGAAUAUGUAAUGGAAGCACUUUCAGGCAAGACAGUACUACUUGUGACCCAUCAAGUUGAUUUCUUGCCUGCAUUUCAUUUCGUUUUGGUUAGUCUUCUCCGACUCUAAAUCUUUUGUGUGCAAAACCAAUAUAUUUAUUGUUGAGGGCUAGUAGUGUCGUGCAAGUUCUGUGUUAUUCAUGAAUGUUAUCAUUAGCAGAUCACUGCUGGUCGAAUGCAAAUGAUUUUAAAUUUGAAUUUUGUUAACAGUUGAUGAUGGAUGGGGAGAUCCUACAAGCAGCUCCGUAUCAGCAUCUAUUGGAUAUAAGCCGUGAAUUCCAGGACCUUGUCAAUGCACACAAAGAAACUGCUGGUUCCGAAAGGCUUUCAGAUGUCACUUCUGCUCAAAAUUCUGGAAUAUCGUCUACAGAGAUUAAGAAGAGUUAUGUGGAAAAGCCAUUGAAAGAAAAUAAAGGUGACCAAUUGAUUAAACUAGAAGAGAGAGAGACAGGAGACACAGGUCUAAAGCCAUACAUACUGUAUCUGAAACAGAACAAAGGGUUCUUGUACUUCUCAAUUGCCAUUUGUCUACACUUCACUUUCGUUAUGAGUGAGAUUGCGCAGAACUCUUGGAUGGCUGCUAGUGUCGACAAUCCAAAUGUUAGCACAUUGCAAAUGAUUUUGGUUUACUUAGCGAUUGGAUUCCCCGCUACAUUCAUUUUUCUGUUCAGAUCUCUUGCAGUAGUUAAUGGGGGUCUUGAAACGUCAAAGUCUAUAUUCUCACAACUACUAAACUCCCUUUUUCGUGCACCCAUGUCAUUCUAUGAUUCAACACCCUUGGGAAGGGUACUUAGUCGGGUAUGCAUUUCAACUAGAAACUUUGGUUUAUAGACUAGGAGGGCAUGAAAGAUACUAAUAGCUUUAUCUGCUGCAUUGUUUCAUGGUUAGGUUUCAUCUGAUCUGAGUAUCACAGAUAUUGAUAUUCCAUUCGCUUUAGUAUUUGCUUGCACAUCUACCAUCAAUGCCUAUAGCAAUCUUGGAGUAUUGACUGUUGUUACCUGGCAAGUCCUGUUUGUCUCCAUACCAAUGAUCUAUGUCGCAAUUCAGCUACAGGUAAUGCUAUGUGAGGUUCUUUCAUAUGUCUGAAUUUAAAUUUGAUAGAUCAGAGAAAUUUCUUUUUGUUUGAAUAAAAUAUGAUUAGACAUGAGGGGAACAUGAUGGCAUUUCUUAUUUCAGAAAUAUUACUAUUCCACUGCAAAAGAGUUGAUGAGGAUCAACGGAAUAACCAAGUCCUUUGUAGCGAACCAUCUCACGGAGUCUGUCUCAGGUGCCAUUACCAUAAGAGCUUUCAAUGAAGAAGAUCGCUUCUCGGCAAAGAACUUUGACCUCAUUGACACAAAUGCUAGUCCUUAUUUCCACAGUUUUUCGGCAAAUGAGUGGUUAAUUCAACGGUUAGAGAUGAUCAGCGCAGCGGUUCUUGCCUCUGCAGCACUUUGCAUGGUUUUGCUUCCAACUGGAACUUUUAGCUCUGGUAAGUUUUCCUUGAUUUUUCUGGAUGUACCCGCCUGGAGAUUAAGCUAUUGAUUUUUGACACUUCUACUAAUGAUUAUAUAUGUUACUGCAGGAUUUGUUGGGAUGGCACUUUCUUAUGGUCUAUCAUUAAACGUGACCUUGAUCAAAUCAAUUCAGAACCAGUGCACUAUAGCAAAUUACAUCAUUUCUGUAGAAAGACUAGAUCAAUACAUGCACAUUCCGAGUGAAUCCCCAGAAGUAGUUGAGGGAAAUCGUCCACCGGCCAACUGGCCUGUAGUAGGAAAAGUGGAGAUACAAAAUUUGCAGGUAAAGACCGGUGUGUCUUUAGUAUUGAAAACUAAUAUUUAUGUUGAAGAAGGUUACUAAGACAUAUUUGAUGUCAAAACAGAUAAGAUAUAGGGAAGACACACCACUUGUUCUCCGAGGGAUCAGUUGUAUUUUUGAAGGAGGGCAUAAAAUUGGUAUUGUUGGUAGGACAGGCAGUGGGAAGUCUACUCUAAUCGGUGCUCUAUUUCGGCUGGUUGAGCCAGCCGGAGGGAAGAUCAUAGUCGAUGGCAUUGACAUCUGCACUAUAGGCCUUCAUGAUCUGAGGUCAAGAAUUGGAAUAAUACCUCAAGACCCUACUCUCNNNNNNNNNNNNNNNNNNNNAUAUGUGUUUGUCGGUGAGUCGUGGUUUGAUUGGUUAAAGUGUUAACUAACAACUUAAUUUAAGACCAUGAGUUCAAAUCUCAUAUGUAUGAUCUGUUAGUUAUUCAAUAAAAAAAGUUUUAUAUAUAUACAGGUCUUCUCGGUUGAUUUUCAUUUUUGCACCAUUUUUCGAUCCAAUUUCCUCAUCUCCACCGUCCAGUAUAUCUAGAUAAUAUUGGGUAGAUCAUCUCUGCAAAAUUUCAGCCAAUUUGGUAAUCGUUAAAGCCCUCAAAAUUGUGUUUUCCUGGCAUAAACAUGAACCGGACAGAAUUCAGUCCGUCUAUUUGUUUUUCGAGUUUAAGGGCCUUAACGAUUACCAAAUUUGCUGAAAUUUUGCAAAGAUGAUCUAUACAAUAUUAUCUAGAUAUUGGACGGUGGAGAUAAGGAAAUUCGAUUAAAAAGUGGUGCAAAAAUAAAAAUCUGCACCAAUGGUGCAAAAAAUGAAAAAUCCGCACAAAACCAUUGGUGCGGACGUCCGCAGCUGAGAAAAACUAUAUAUAUAUAUAUGUGACUCUCUCUCUCUUUCUGAUGCUCACAGUCACUUUGCAACGCUUGUGGGAUCAGGUAUCGCAAGCUCAAGCUCAAGGAGAAGCAACGGGAGGGAGCUUCCGGAGAGGGCAGCUCUAGUGCAUCAUAAGGAUUAUGGAAGACACAGAUUAAUCCCGAGUGUUUCGGGUCUCAAUAAAUUAAAUUUUCAUAUUCUUAAGGAACAUGAACUUUAAAGUUUAUCUUCGAUUUAUACUUUUGCAGUGAAUUUUCUGUUAUGGGAUUAGUCUUAUGAAUAAGUUUCAAGUUCAUUAUUUUCCUUACAAUUGACUGAAAUCACUGAAUAUAUAACUUCGAAAUUUUAAGUUUUUAACUAGUCCUCGACAAGACGCAAGUUGGUGGUGCCCUUAAAGACAUGACCAGAACAGUUACCCGCUAAAGUCCAUGCUCUUUUAUGACUCUAAAACACUACAAAUGGCAAAAAACCAACCCACGUACACCGUUUUCCUUAUCCAAAAAGCAAAGCCCAUAUGUGUGCCAUGAUUUUGCUCUGGACCCAAUUAAUAAAUGUUUGCAUGACCCGCAAACAGGGAGACCCUCUUCAAUAAUUUGAUUGGUUUUUGUGCCUCCAAUAUUUGUUAAAUGAAUAAACCCCGACAUUCUCUUUGUAAAUCACAAAAGAGUUACUAGGUCCUCGUUUCUUCAGUACUGAAAUGAGAAACUAACUUCCUUGUCAAGCUGAAACUCCAUAGUUGCAUUUCUGGUAAUAAGGCCAUCCACUUAUAUUCGCUAGUUGCAUAUUGUCAACUUGUUUGAUUGGUUCCGAGUUCUUGCACUGUUUUUAUUCCAUGUUCAACUUCGUCUAGCUGUAAUUAUUGGUACAGAACAAAAGCAAGAGAUUGGUUUUUCUAGUAUUUACAUGUAGACUGGAUUGUUAUUAUGAUCAUGUAUUGUGGAACUCUUUUAUAAUAAGUUGUUGAUCUGUGGUUGCUGUUUUCUUCCUCCUUUGUAUGAUAUGGUUGAAUUUCACAGCAGUUGAGCUGUUGAGGUCAGAGAGCUUGCUGAGUGAUGAACUGGGUGACUUGGUAGAAUCAUAUAGUUUCUGCUGCCGCUGCUGCUUUGCCUAAGAGAAAGAGGACCUUCUGUUCUCUUGGGCCAAAUUUCAUUGGUAUGUUCCUCAUACUUCUCUACUCAUCAAGCUAAAAAGAUACUAUCUUUGAUGUUUUUUUGGUUUUAGUUUUGAUAACAAGCUUUAUGCUUUCUGGAUUGUUUUGGGUUGUUUUAAGUUUGUCGUGAAAAUUUUUCUUAGUAUAUUUUCUUGUGUUGCAUACUAUGCAGAGUAAGAAGAGCAGUAGAGGUCUAGAGUAACCGAAAAGGAUGACGGGGGAUUUAUGGACCGGGUUUUGUGGGGGAUCUGGAGGUUCAGAGAGUUUUAACUUUCAGUUUCUGGUUCAUCCUUCGUCAUGCGUUAAUCACGCGUUGAUAAUUUUCCUAAACAUUGUACUUCUUGUGGUGCUCUUGUUCACUGUGUUUCUCAAGUCAUCAAAAAUAGUUCAUGUUCCAGCCCGAUUUCUAGGCUUUUCGAGUUGGCAAAUAGUCUCGGCCAUUUUCAAUGGCGGUCUUGGAUUUGUGCACUUGUGCUUGGGAGUCUGGAUUUUAGAAGAGAAGCUGAGGAAUUCACACACUGCUUUGCCUUUGAAUUGGUGGUUACUUGGUAUUUUUCAAGGCUUCACAUGGUUGUUUUUGAGUUUAACUCUAAGCAUCAGGGUGAAGAAACUUCCAAGACAGCCUUCAAGACUGCUGUCCAUCCUUGCAUUUUUGUUCUCCGGAGUUGUCUUUGCUCUAUCGCUCUUCGCUGUCAUUUUCAGAAAUGAAAUAUCAGUUAUGAUAGUACUAGAUAUCCUGACUUUCCCAGGAGCAGCAUUGUUGCUGUUAUGUGUUUUCAAGGGGUAUAAGUAUGAAGACGGUGAUGAGAUCAUCAGUGACAAUGGCCUUUAUACCCCUUUAAAUGGUGAAUCCAAUGGCAAUAGUGAAGGUAAUGAUCAUACAACCCCAUUCAGCAAAGCUGGUUUAUUCAGUAGAAUGUCAUUCUGGUGGUUAAAUUCAUUGAUGAAAAGAGGUAGGGAGAAAACUCUGGAGGAUGAAGAUAUACCGGAGUUGCGCAAGGAAGAUCGAGCAGAAAGUUGUUAUGGGAUGUUUCUGGAGCAACUGAGCAAGCAGAAAAAAAUUGAACCAAAUUCCCAGCCAUCAGUGUUAAGGAUUAUAAUCCUAUGCCACUGGAAGGAGAUUUUACUAUCUGGUUUCUUUGCUUUGCUGAAGAUACUCACUAUCUGUGCUGGUCCUCUGCUUCUCAAUGCCUUCAUUUUGGUUGCAGAGGGAAAGGAAAGUUUCGAGCAUGAAGGUUAUCUGUUAGCCGGAGCACUUUUUGUUUUGAAAACCAUUGAAUCCUUGUCACAAAGGCAGUGGUACUUCAGAUGCAGGCUUAUUGGUUUGAAAGUUAGGUCUUUGCUGUCAGCAGCCAUUUACAAAAAGCAAUUGAGAUUAUCUAAUUCUGCUAAGUUGACACACUCAGGUGGUGAGAUUAUGAAUUAUGUUACUGUUGAUGCUUAUAGGAUUGGAGAAUUCCCAUUUUGGUUCCAUCAGACUUGGACUACUAGCAUCCAGCUCUGUUUUUCUUUGGUAAUUCUUUUCCGUGCGGUCGGCCUAGCUACAUUUGCAGCCUUGGUGAUGAUACUUUUUAGUGUUAUUUUGAAUGCUCCACUUGCUAAGCUACAACAUAAGUUUCAGAGUAAGCUUAUGAAGGCACAAGAUGAAAGACUCAAGGCUAGUUCAGAGGCUCUAGUGAACAUGAAGGUCUUAAAGUUAUAUGCAUGGGAAACACAUUUCAGGAAGGCAAUAGAGAAGUUAAGGAAAGAGGAGCACAAAUGGUUAUCUGCAAUGCUGUUCAGAAUAGCAUAUAGUACAUUCCUCUUUUGGACAACUCCUGUUUUAGUCUCUGCUGCAACAUUUGGGGCAUGCUAUUUGCUCAAUAUUCCGUUACAUGCGAAUAAUAUUUUCACUUUCAUCUCCACUCUGAGACUUGUUCAGGACCCCAUUCGAACAAUACCUGAUGUUUUUGCGGUUGUCAUUCAAGCCAAGGUUGGAUUUGCUCGUAUUGUGAAAUUCCUCGAGGCACCUGAGCUGCAACCUUCAAAUGUCCGGAAGUACAACAUGAAGAAUGUAGAUAAGUCCAUUGAAAUUAAGUCAGCUAAUUUUUCAUGGGAAGAGAAUUCAUCGAAGUCCAUACUGAGAAAUAUAAAUUUAGAGGUUAGACCAGGCGAAA
rnacentral:lncRNA from 1 species